AGUGGUCGACGUAGGCGGGCGGCGUGGCGGGGCGGAAAACCGUUUCCGGGAGAGACCUUCCGUGGUGGACGUCGCCCCAGGCUCCCACACUUAGAAAACUAAAGGGAACGCCUAACGGAGCGAUGGAUCUCCGUGUUCCCAGCAAAGCAGGGAGCACGGAGAGUCAAAGCUAACAUAGAGCCCAACCGACGCUUAAAGGAGGUGUUUUGGGUUUUGUUUUUUUUUUUUCUAUUUGCGUACGGUCUAUUUUGUCGUUUUUUUGGUUUGGUUUGGUUUUUUUCUUUGUUUUCCGCUUUGGCUGAGGUGACUUAGUAAAGGAGAAAAAGGGCAGUCCGCUACACCAUUUCGUAAGACGAAAAUAACCCUAUGAGAAUUCACUCCAAAAAUAGGCAUCUUUCAUCUCUCCUCAAAUGGCUAAUCGGUGGUUUGGCAGAGUGUGUCCAUUAGAUUCUGAAACUAGUUUGAAUACUGACAGUGCAGAAUUCAAGAAAUUUUUUUGUUUUGUUUCGUUUUAACUGCCACGGCCCUUUAAUCUAGGAAGUUACAGCACCGUGAGUUACCACAGUACUACAUACCUGGCUUCCAUGUCUGAUUAAACAGCAGGCCAAGUAAAAUGUUUAAAGAAAUCAAAUGAAGUGCCAUUUAUAACCGUUAUAACUGAAACAAACGACUGCUAAAGACAAAACUAUUUCACAGAAAUUUGGUCCUCCAAAAUUUGUUUUGCUUUCUACUUCAAAAAGAGUCUACUUCUCUAAAUCAAGAUUUCGGUUUUGCUUCUUUUUUCAAUUUUUCUUUUCUUUUUUUAAUUUUUAUUUUUUGAGAUGGAGUCUCGCUCUGUUGCCCAGGCUGGAGUACAAUGGCGCGAUCUCCGCUCACUGCAAGCUCUGCCUGCCGGGUUCACGCCAUUCUCCUGCCUCAGCCUCCCGAGUAGCUGGGAUUACAGGCGCCCGCCACCACGCCUGGCUAAUUUUUUUAUUUUUAUUUUUAGUAGAGAAGGGGUUUCACCGUGUUAGCCAGGAUGGUCUUGAUCUUCUGACCUCGUGAUCCGCCCGCCUCGGCCUCCCAAAGUGCUGGAAUUACAGGCGUGAGCCACCGCGCCCGGCCCAAUUUUUCUUUUUAAUUUUCACUGUGGGUGAGGAAGCUAAAGCCCGAGACUUCCGAGAUCACACAGCUACUUAAGAUGCCAGACAAGGACCCAAACAAUCUUCCUUUUCAUUUAUGAUAGCCCUUUGGCUUGAAAGCAUGCCCAAAAGUCUCAUCAUUCUUCCUAAAAUGUGUAUCUUUAAGGAUAGUCGCAAUAUCCUCUAUUUUUGUGCCUAUAUUUUAUUCGUAUGUUUUUAUUUUAAUAUAGUAUGUAGUGCCACAUUGUUUGUUGAUUGAAUAAAUAAAUGAAUCUUUUACCACACUCAAGUCUUAACUGGCUGUUAAAUUAAGGUUAUAAUGUGUAAGUUUUCACCUGUAGCCCAUGUAAUUCUCAAAACUGCCCACUAAGCUUCAAGGGUUCAAAUCCAUUACAAGGUGGAAAGGCUAGUGGGGAGGAACUUCCAUCUUCUACUCUGCCAGACAAUAAAAUGUUCUACCUUAUCAGUGGUUCCUAUCCUUGUUGCAUCUUCAGAUGGUGCUGUAGAGAAAAAUUAGACUAACGGUUGUGGCACAGGGGUUUUAAUGCCAGAUUACCCGUUCUGAUACAAUUCUUUAUGCCAUCAUAGGAGUCAAGAGGGCACUCCUAUGUCAUGGUUAAGAGUCCAGGAUUUAUCAGGCAGACCUGGGAUCAAAUCCUAGCUUGAUAACUUACAAACAGCUUUGUAGUCUUCAGCACUCAACUUUUCUGAAACCAGUCUUCUCAUCUGCAAAACAGGGGUGGAUAAUAAUGAGACCUUCAUAGGACUGUCAAGAAGAUUACAUUAAAAGAAAGACUAUGUAUGAAAAAGUAGCAAAAAACCUCCACAUAGUAAAAAGUCAAUGAACAGGAGGUGUUUUCAUCUUUAUAAAGAAUUUAACUGUUGGUGAACUCUUGUCUACCAAAGCCUAGCUCUGUGGGUCUUGUCAAAUGCUGUGCCAGACACAGAAUAAUACUUAUUGUAUUCCCAAAUUAUUUGGAAAUAAUUCUUUUUCAUUAUUUAUUUUUUUGGAGACAGGGGUCUCACUCUGUUGCCCAGGCUGGUCUCUAACUCGUAGGCUCAAGCAGUCCUCUCACCUUGGCCUCUGAAAGUGCUGGAAUUACAGGCAUGAGCCACUGUGCUUGGCUGGUAAUAAUUCUUUUAAUCAAAGUUGAUCUGAGUGACAAAGAGUUGACAGCUUUUCAUUGCUGGUCUGAUGGUAGCAAGUGUCCACUCUAUCCAGAGAGGACAUGUCAGGUGCAGUGGCUCACACCUGUAAUCCCAGCACUUUGGGAGACUGAAGCGGAUAAUUUGAGCCUAGACGUUUGAACGUUAGCCAGGUAUGAUGGUGUGCACCUGUAGCCCUACAUACUUGGGAGGCUGAGGCAGGAGGAUCACUUCAGCCCAGGAG
rnacentral:lncRNA from 1 species